rnacentral:lncRNA from 1 species
UUUGGGGUUAGAAUAAGUUAGAAUACAAUAAACUUUAUUGAUUACAAGUGCUAGAGGUGCAUGGAGAGUGUUUAGAAGUGUGGAGAUAGACUUGUUGAAAUUGGGUUCUAAAUGGGCUAAGAACUCGGAAACAUUGCGUUGAACUUCUAAAUGACUUAUCUAGUGUAGUUUGGGGUUAGAAUAUGAUAGAAUACAAUAAAUUUGAUUGAUUACAAGUGCUAGAGAUGCAUG